rnacentral:lncRNA from 1 species
UUUUGCCCAGGGUCAUUUUCAUGAUAAGGGUUCUAGUACUGAUUGUGUAACAAACUCAGUCACUUAAAGCAUUUCAUAAAUCACUUUGUUUUGUUCCCAAAUCUGUAGACUGGGGAGGACUUGGCGAGGAUAGUGUGGCUGUGCUCUGUGGCAUCUGCUAGGGCAGCUCCGUGAGCCGAGGUAGCCACCUCGGAGCGGGGCCACCCCCUUGGCCUGCUGGCUGGAGCCGGUGGUGUGUUGGGAGCUCUCUGAGGCUGUGUGCUGGGAGCUCUCUGUGGGCUGGAGGCGCCUUCCUGGGUUUCCUCACGCUGCAGCAGCCGGAUUCCAAGAGCAAGCGGCCUAGAGACAGGAACUGCCCUUCUCUCCAAGCCCAGGUCCAGAAGUACAUCACUGCUGCCAUAUGUUGUUGGCCAAGCAGACACAGGUCCUGCCUCUCAACGAAAGGAUGCUAAAGAAUGUGUGGCCAUCUUUAGUCUACCUUAGUGACAGAGCCAGGACUUGAACCUAGAUCUUCAGGAUGCCUCCAAGCCCUCCUGCACUGGGUCUUCGGGAAGACACGUGGGCUCACGCUGGGAAUUGUGUGCCUGGGCCUGACUCGUCCAGCUGUCUGGGCCAUCGCACAGACCUUUGUGUAAACUAGGGGAAGUCCCUAUUUGGAAAGCAGGUGUCCGCGAGGCCGGGACGGCCGGGGUCUGCUGGCUGCAGAGGUCUGAUGUGGCUCCUUUCUUCUGGCAGCUGUGUAUCCCUGCCCCAUCCAGAUGGCUCCCAGGCACUCCAUGCUGCUGCCUGACUGUCCCCAGGCACAGACUAAUGGUCUGGGGUGGGUAUCUGCCUGAGAGGGGCCCCUGACUUCCCUCCCUGAGACUUUUACACAAGGCUUGGGAGAUGUCAGGGGCCACGCUUACUACCCAUGGAGAGAGACCAUCUGCAGGAGAGAGGAAGGAGGCCACGAGGCUGAGAAGAGCACACAGGAGAGCCAGACAGGAGUCCCACAGCUCUCCCAGCCCUGGUUCCAGCGUCCUCCAGGCAGCUGCAUGGCAGGCCUUGGGUCCUCCCACCGCAUACCCUGUGCGGGUUUCUGUCGCUGGCCACUGAGAAAGGCCGGGCUGAGGAGCCUGGCCGCAGCAGCCUGGAGUCCUGAGCCUUCUGGGGCUGCCCCUGGAGAUGGCGCUGGCCUCCUCACAGGCCUUCCUGCCCAUCAGGCCCCUCUCCACCCCACCGCCUAAGAGAAAGUUCGAGACGCACACCAGACCCCGUGGCUCCCCUGCGUUCAGACCACCAGCGGCUCCCGUGAUCUGGCGCCUGCAGGCCUCACCACCCUCCUUCCUCCUUCUUGGCCGGCCACUAGCCUCUCGGAGCUUUGCUGGGGGCCUGUGGGCAGAGAGGCACUGGCUUUAACGCCGCCUGGAAUUCAGCCCGGCCUGUGCCCCGAGGAAGGUGGGUGGGGGAUGGUGGGGCGGUGUCGACUGCGCCCCCUGCUGGCCAGCACUAGUUACUGCGGGAGGGGCUCCAAGGCCCAGCGGGGAUGCCUCCCGCGUCCCCAUUGCACAGAAGCAGCAGGCCUUAGACCUUGCCAGGCCACGCGGCUGGAAAGGAGCAGAGCAAGGAUUUGGAAUCGGGACUGUCUGACCAGCCCGUGUGCUUUUCAACACAGAGGGGCCUCCAUUUUCUCUAACCCAGGAGGCCCUCUGUCCUCUUCCUCCUGCCACACACACUUAGAAAACACCCUUGAUUCACAAACCUUGGCUAAGCAUAAAUUCAGGCUGAGGCUGACCCAGAGCUGCCAGGAGCUCUUGGGCGGGAGGGGUAAGCAUGGUGGUUAGGGGUGUGGCCAGAGAUCCAUGAGGUGCUAUCCUGCCCCCAGGGGCCACAUUCUGAGGAACAAGUCAGUGCAAAAGUUACUCAACAAAUACUUAUUGAAUGAAUACAUACAUAAGUAAAUAAAUAAACUCACUGACCAGGACAAAGCCAUCAAACUUUUGGCCAAUUGGCAAACUCUUACUCAUCCUUCAAAAUCCCUUUCCUUCCAGGAAGGAAGCAUCUUUGGAACCCCUUUAAGAAGGUCACCUGGCAUAUUUCACGUUAGAGCAGAAUGUGAUACAUUUUAUAGUCGGGUACAGGGUGCUAUGGGAUGUUGGGGGCAGGAGCAGACUCUUGCAGAGGUGGCAAUGGGAGGGGGAGGAGGAAGGAGGACACCUGGGGAAGGCUUCCUGGAGGAAGAGAAGGCUUUUGACAUGGACCUGGAAGAAUGGGGCAGUACUGGGACAGGGGAAGGUAAAUGGUAGUGGCGUUGUGGUGGUGAGAGGUGACAGCGUGCUAGCAGCCCUCACAGCCCUCGCUUGCUCUCGGCGCCUCCUCGGCCUUGGCGCUCACUCUGGCCGCGCUUGAGGAGCCCUUCAGCCUGCCGCUGCACUGUGGGAGCCCCUUUCUGGGCUGGCCAAGGCCAGAGCCGCCUCCCUCAGCUUGUGGAGAGGUGUGGAGGGAGAGGCGCCGGCGGGAACCAGGGCUGCACGCGGUGCUUGCGGGCCAGUGUGAGUUCCGGGUGGGCGUGGGCUCAGUGGGCCCUGCACUCGGAGUGUCCAGCCGGCCCUGCCGGCCCUGGGCAGUGAGGGGCUUAGCACCUGGGCCAGCAGCUGCUGUGCUCGACUUCUCGUUGGCCUUAGCUGCCUCCUGUGGGGCAGGGCUGGGGACCUGCAGCCUGCCAUGUCUGAGCCUCUCCACCGCGGUGGGCUCCUGUGCGGCCCGAGCCUCCCUGACGAGUGCCGCCCCCUGUUCCACAGCGCCCAGUCCCAUCCACUGCCCAAGGGCUGAGGAGUGCCGGUGCAGGGCGCAGGACUGGAAGGCAGCUCCACCUGCAGCCCCGGUG